GCUGGCGGUGUGUCUAAUACAUGCAAGUCGAACGGGAAUCUUCGGAUUCUAGUGGCGGACGAGCGAGUAACACGUUGGAACCUGCCCCGAACUCAGGGAUAAGCACUGGAAACGGUGUCUAAUACCGGAUAGUCCCGCAAGGGUAAAGAUUUUUCGGUUCGGGAGGGGCCUGCGUCCUAUCAGCUUGUUGGUAAGGUAAUGGCUUACCAAGGCUAUGACGGGUAACUGGUCUGAGAGGAUGAUCAGUCGCGAUGGAACUGAGACACGGUCCAUACUCCUACGGGAGGCAGCAGUAGGGAAUAUUCCACAAUGGGCGAAAGCCUGAUGGAGCAACACCGCGUGGUCGAUGAAGCAUUUCGGUGUGUAAAGACCUUUUCUGAGGGAAGAAUUAUGACGGUACCUUAGGAAUAAGCACCGGCUAACUCCGUGCCAGCAGCCGCGGUAAUACGGAGGGUGCAAGCGUUAUCCGGAAUUAUUGGGCGUAAAGCGUCUGUAGGCGGACAAUUAAGUGUGAUAUUAAAGACAACAGCUCAACUGUUGCGUGGUGUUACAAACUGGUUGUCUAGAGGCUUGGGAGAGGUUAGUAGAAUUCUACAUGUAGGGGUUAAAUCCGUAGAUAUGUAGAGGAAUACCAAAAGCGAAAGCAGCUUAACUGGACAAGUUCUGACGCUCAGAGACGAAAAGCGUGGGGAGCAAACAGGAUUAGAUACCCCUGGUAGUCCACGCCCGU
rnacentral:rRNA from 1 species